CCAAGGAGUCUAACAUGUACGCAAGUCGUAGGGUGGAAAACCCGAAGGCGCAAUGAAAGUAAAGCUUUUGCGACACAGGAUCCGGUUUCGGCCGGCGCACUGUGCGCCCCCGUUCCGGCUGCAUGUCAGCGGAGCGGCGGUAGAGCGUACACGUUAGGACCCGAAAGAUGGUGAACUAUGCCUGAGCAGGGCGAAGCCAGAGGAAACUCUGGUGGAGGCUCGAAACGGUUCUGACGUGCAAAUCGAUCGUCAGACUUGGGUAUAGGGGCGAAAGACUAAUCGAACCAUCUAGUAGCUGGUUCCCUCCGAAGUUUCCCCCAGGAUAGCUGGCGUUCAAUGUGCAGUCUUAUCCGGUAAAGCGAAUGAUUAGAGGCCUUGGGGACGAAAUGUUCUCAACCUAUUCUCAAACUUUAAAUGGGUAAGAAGUUCGACUUUCUUAAUUGAAGUCGGACACUGGAUGUGAAUGCCAAGUGGGCCAUUUUU
rnacentral:rRNA from 1 species